rnacentral:lncRNA from 1 species
ACCCCUUUGUGUGGUUGGCAAACUAUUACACGGGAUGGGGUUUACCCUCUACCCAUUCUCGGGUUGCGGCUGCGGGUUCUCAAAAAAAAAAAAAAAAAAAAAAAAAAAAAAAAAUUUUCAUGGUUUCAAUGAGUGCUCAAUACACUGCUUUUGUGAGGAGCUUGCAAGGCGACAAAGGGAUAUUGGGAACUUUACCAGACAACACAGAGAGACAUCCUGUCCAAAGGCCUCGGAGAAAUUUGGAGUUGGGGCAGUCCAGUCAAGGAGAAAGGAAUUAUCUACCUGUAGGGAGUUCUAAGGUGAAAUUUCCCAAUUUUGAUGGUUCUAACCCCAAGGAGUGGGUUAGGAAAUGUGAGAAGUUUUUCAGUUUAUGUCGCAUUCUAGACUCUCAGCAAAUGGAUCUAGUGGAAUUGCAUUUGGAUGGAAAAGCUAGUAUCUGGUAUCAAGGCUUCAAGAUGGAUAAGGGUGAGUUACGAUGGGACAGAUUCAGCCAAGAGCUUUGCAAUAGAUUUGGAAAUUUGGGGAGGACGAUGUCAUAGAGGAGUUUAACAAGUUUCAUCAAACUUCCACAGUAAUGGCCUAUCAAGAAAAAUUUGAGGAGCUGCGAGCUGUUGUAAUGCUCAAGGUUCCUAGUCUCAAAAAGUCUAAGUUAAUUCUUAUCAAUUUAUAGUCCAAAUUGAGUACACCAAUAAGAGAUUUGAAACAACGGGUUUCAAAAACAUGUGGUUAAAAGAAAAGUAUGAUGUUGAAAAAUAAAUAAAACCUGAUAAUAAAACAGUAACAAGAGCAUUUGCCAAAUCAUAGAAAACACUUUUAGCAAUCUGUACAGAAUAAUGAGGAUGAUUAUAAUGCUGACUUAAUAUGAAAAGAAGAAAGAUGGAGCAUAAUAUCUUAACAAUCUCUAUAAAAUUAUAUUACAAGAAACAUAAUUAUAAUGAUUCAAUGUAUAAAUUAAAAUAAUUCUCAAAAGGACAAAGUCUUACCCGACUAGAAAAAAAUAGCGAAACUUAAAAAAAAGUAGAAAAAUUGAGCGACUAAAAGAAAAUAUAAUAUUUUGUACCGCUCAUUCUAACUGUCAUAAAAAAGAAAAUAGAGAUAUCAAAGUAUGUCAUUGUUUUAAUGAUAACUGAUAGGUUAAAUACGACAGCUUUAAAUUUAUUCAAAUUCUACAAAAAAUUUAGAAAAAGAAAACCAAUAAACUUGAAUAUGGUUUUUAUAGUAAUAGUUUAAAAGAGCAUUGUUGCGCAUAGUUUUUAAAAACUUUUAGAAAUAAAUUAUAAAUUCUAUUUUAUAGUUAUUUGUUACAUUGUUAUGAAUGUAUAAAAUAUCCAUGCAAAAUGGAAUUGCAAGGAGGAAAAGCUCAUAAGCUCUUUUUUUUGGUGCAAUAUUUGGAGACGUGCAUAAAAAUUCAAACCGUACCUGCCCCCAUCCUUUUGAGACUAUGCUUAUUCAUUUAAACUUGUACAUCCUUUCUAACUCUAGACACAAAAUACUGGAACAUUUUGGUAAGAAUUUUCAACGUGCAUAACAAGAUCUUUUCUUCUUUCUUUCCUCUUCCAUGCUUCUAUUGAAGACUUCAUUGCAAUUGGAGUUCUGAAAAAUUUUGGAAGUCUCAAUCUUUACCAGGAAAAACAGAAACCAAGCUUGGGACAUAAUCAACCACAUAAUAGGAAUCAACAGAAUCUUUACAUUUGAACUCUUUUCCAUAGGUUCCUCAACACGCUAUUUGUUUAGGCCAUACAUGACCAGACCAUUUGCCCUUCCUUUUGAUGCUGCCAAAAGCUACCCUGAUGCUAUUAGCCUUGUUCUUUGGUGCAGGGGAUGGCUCUUCGAAACCUUAAUAUGCAUUAUGCAAGAAAUAUGUUCACCAUGUUCCUUCAUCACCCAUAACUCAUAACUUUUUGAUGCUACGUGUCUAAGAUUGGAUAAUGAAGACAUUCUUGAAAUUCUUCUAGAGUAGGAUACAUGAAAUUGGGUAGGCAAUCUACUAGCAAUAAUUGUCAAAUCUUUUCCUGAUUUAUGUCCAACGCAUUCAAACAAAGUUUGAAUCCAUUGGAUUCCAAGCACACCAAUGAGCAAAUCCAUUGUGAACUGCUAACUUCCAUCUACGCACCAUGGGGGACGCUACAAGAUUUUGGUGAGGAAGGGACUUAUCUAUUUCCAGAAAUUGUUACUUAGACUAUAUAUGUCAACCUUGAAGUAGCCUUCUAGAUGUGAAACUUUCACCACUUGGUAAUCAUGGCUAACCAGAUUAUGAAUAAAGUAGACAUUAUGUUUUAGACAGUAGUUGAUGCAAUCGAGCCAGGGAAGAGUCUUGCAUUGAUUUAAAACAGGGUUUCAUAGAUGGAUGCAAAGCUUCCUAAGACGAUUCCAGUGGUGAUAUAAACAUACUAUACCAUUACGGUAAUCUGCCAAAAAGAAGGCACUUUCUACAACUAUUAGCCUGCAAAGAUUAAUAUUUGCUCUAGGAUUAACUCUGAAUUGCUCUAUCAAUUGUUUGACACCUGGAACAAAGCUUUAAGGGCAGUCACAAGAAUCGCGUGAACGAAUUGCAAGAGUGUCCAUGAGGAUAUUUCUAAUUUCGCCAUAGUUGUUGUUGUUUUUGAGGGACUUUUAUAGAUAAUAAUAGAUAAAAAUAGGAUUAGAGAUCAUAAGGUUUCACCACGACUUGGAUAUUCAACAAAAUCAAACCAAAGUCUUCAUAGGUAGUUUAGACAAGACAUCAAAGAUAAUCUCUUCCCGUAUAUGCAGGGAUGAUGAUGGCGGUAUUUGAUAUUGGGUGAGGGGAUUACAGAAGAAGAGUAACUACCGUCUCUUGAUUCAUUGCAAUGGAGUUAUUUGAUACUGAGAAGAACUCUAAUUCCUAGUUCAGAUUGCUAUUGGAUGAUAAUCAAUUUAUCAAGAACCUUUCAUUUGAUUAGACUUCAAGUCAAACUCAAAUCUUACAUACGUUUUUUGUUUUCCAGAUGGUUGGGGAAACCUCCCAACUACAUCGGAUUCAACAUUGCUGAUUCUUUCACUCAUAAGCUCAAGUAGCUUGAAAAAAACACAAAAUAUGUAAACAUUGAACAAUAAUAAGGGAAUUUGAUCUAUUUUAUCUUUGAUAAGAAUUUCUUGAUAAACAAAAUUUAUUCACAAAGAUUUUGUGUAAGAACCACUGUUAAAGAUAUGUAUGAGAAGGCAAAAAGAAAAUUUAAUCACAACUAUAUAAUAUUAGCUUUGAUCCCAUUUCGCUUUAGUUUUAUGUUUUUUAAAAUUUAAUUUUAUAAUAUGAUUUUACAAGGAUUUCAAACUAAUAUUUGGUUAGAAAAUAUGUUCCUUUGAAUAGAAAGUGACCAAAAAAACUAUUGGUUACUUUUCUUGCCAAACAAAAGAUAGACUUUUGUAAAUAUCAAUUUAAAUACCUUUAAUUCUUCUUUAUCUCAGUUUUUUAUUAACAACAUAUUUGUUGAACAUACUUACAAUAGCUAUUAAUAAAACUUAAACCCAAAUCUAAUUUUAUUUCGCUAGUUUGUUCAAUUUCUUUUUUAAAAAAACCACAUUAGCUUAACUUUGUUGCAAAUCCAACUAUGUUUCAAAUAGAAAUUAAAAAGUUAUCUUCCUUUUGAGGCUGUGGAAGUUGACUAUUUUUGGAAAGCAAAGAGUAAAAGUUUUUGCUUUUUAUCCUGCGGCUAUGUUUUGGUGAGAAUGAUGAUUUGAAUUGCCAAUAUUACUAUACAAUAUUUUAUUUUUCUUGUGCCCUUUAUGGAUAUGCAAUACUCAACUCGAAUCAACUUCUAUUUUGGAUUUUUUUUCUUUUAGAAAUAAAAAAUUACGUAACUUCAUUCCAAACGAAUUCGCUUCAUGAGAUUUCUGUUAACUUUUUCAACAUAUUAACAUAAAUAUUUACCCUAAAUCCAAUGAUAUUUCAAUAAUAAUAUCUUGUGCAUACCUUCAAACAAGGGUUAUUACCACUUUACCCCUUUAAACUAUAUCACUACUAUCAAUUUACCCCCUAACGUUAUCUUUUAGUCACUUUACCCCCAUAAGUAAUUCAACUCAACAUGUUAAGAAAUUUUGGACAAAAAUACCCUUUUAUUUUAUAGCAUUACUACAUUGUUAUUAUCACUUUAUUCGUUUAGAUUAUAGUGAUACAAUUACUUUAGUUUCUAACAGUAUUUUCUAGGCAUUUUAUCUCAUCAUUAAUCUAACUAGUAAGGUCAAAAAAUUUUAAAUAUAUUUACCCUUUUAUAUAUAAUUAAAAAUAAAAAAGUUGGAAUGGUUAUUCUUCCUUUUUUCACUUUAAUAGAUCCAAAAACAUAAAAAUAAAAGGAUUUUCUCAAAUUUCUUUUUUCCACAUUUACUAAUACUAGGAAAAGAAAAGGAGAUAGGAAAGAAGGAGACAAAAAAUUAGAUUUUACAAAAAAAUAAAAUAAAGAAAAGUCUAACAUUAUCGUAUUACUUUAAGGUUGUCGAGAUUAGAAUUGGAAUUUGGUGAUAAACAAAAAUGUGAAAUAAUUUUAAAAUAAUAAAAGUAUUUAAUUCUUUCUUAUUUGUAAUUUUUAAAAAAAGAAUUGAGCUCUCUCUCUCCCUUUCCCCCUCUCCCUCCUUCUCUCCAUCUUUCUUUUUUUUCAAUAUUAAUAAGAUUGCCAAGAAGAAAGAAAUUAAUACUUUGACUUUUUUUCUUGAUACUAAAAAGGAGAAGAGUCACUCUAAAUUUUUAUUAUUUUUAUUAUGCAAAGAGGAGGGUAUUUUCUUCUAAAAUUUUUUAACUUGCUCAGUUGGUUUAAUGGUAGGAUAAAUUGCCUAAAAAAUAACUCUAGGGGGUAAAUUGAUAAUGAAACUAUAUUUUAUGGGGGUAAAGUGAUAAUAAUUUUAAGGGUUAAACAUGUCUUUUCACUUUAAUUAACAAAUUCCGUUAAGUUUGAUCGUUAGUCUUGGGGUAAAGUGACUAAAAGAUAAUAUUAAGGGGAAAAUUGAUAGUAGUACCAAACGUUUAGGGGGUAAAGUGAUAAUAACCCUUCAAACAAUGUCUGGAACAAAUUCUCAUUUUUGGAGAUCUAAUGUAUUCCACAUUAUUUAAUGAUAAGGGUAUUAUUGAAAAAAAACUAAAUUGCUAAAUCACAAAAUCAUAUUGGCACUUAUAAUAUAGUAGGGAUUGGCUAAAUCAAAACUCCUACAAUCUAAGUUCACAUCCUAGAUGCAUUAAUGAUUUGUACCAUUCUGACUUAUAUUAUAUACGAUCCUAUUCUUACCAAGAUGGUAAAUAGGUAUAAAGAAGUGUGUUUACUAAAUGUUCAAUGUCAUUUUCGUCAUUUGGUGUCAUUGAUUUAUUGUCAAUUAACCCUUUCUUUUGACACCGUAAAGUGAUAAAUAAAUUUUAUAAUUAGUGAGACAAAGUUCAUAUUACAUGGGGCAAAGUGUAAUUAACCUAAUUAGGCUUUUCAUAAUAAAAAAUGAAUACGAGAGAUAACUAGGAAUAGUUUUUAAGUCUUAACUAUGCUUUUAUUGACUGACACCAUUGGAUGCUUACACUAGUAUUAUUUGUGUAAAUUUUUAAUAUUUUAAGUUGUUAAAAUGUAGAACCUCCCAUUAGAUAAAUGCCACAUCAUUAAUUCAUCCCUACUUAAAGUCUUAAGUUCAUUUGCAUUGCAAAUUUUGUUAGGAAAAAUUUUUAGAAUAUUUGUGUGACGCGUUUGUGAGUUACUUUUUAACAUCACAUAAAUCACAUUGCAAUAUUAUAUUUAUCUACAAAAAAUUUUCAAAAAUUCCAAUUCAAAUGGGCUUAGUGGUACUUGCCAAAUUUAAAACUAAAGAGAUCAUUAAUUUGGUUAUGGGUGCAUAUUUUAGCCUUAAAUUGAAUUGGACACAUAUUGAAAUCCUAGCAAGUUAUUUAGAAGAAUAAAACUUAUAACGAUUAAUCUUAUACAUAUGGAUAAUGUAUAUACUGGUGGACACAUGUCACAAGAAUUGAAAUUUAAAUUUAAAUUAAAAUUAAGUGGCAUGCAUGGCCAUGUAUACAAUAUUAAUCCAGUUUAUAAUAACUAAUAGUAAUGUGACAACAUGAAAAUAUAUCGAACUAUCUUCACAAUAGAUUAGGGGCUAAAAAACACAAGGGUGAUUGCGAAAUAUCUUUACAUUAGAUUAGGGGUUAAAUGAGAAUAUUGUUAUGAUAUAAAUCAGAGGUUAAUCAAUAUGAGAAUAUUGCAAAUUAUCUUUUCGAUAUAUUAGGGGCUUGAGAUUUAUCACGCCAUACAAAAUGUAAGAGACAAAAUAGGGGAAAAAAAAGGAUCUGAGUCUUACCGUAGAACAUAAUCUCAUGGUUGAGACAACAUAUGAGAUUAAGGGAUUUAGAAUCUGAUGGUUAUUCAUUAAUCAUGAUUAGAGUUUUAAAAAAUCAAAAUAAAAUAUUAAAAUGGAUGGGACUCUUAAUCCUCUAAAGUAUAGGUCUCUUAUCCCCAAAUUAUACGUUGAUUCUCAUUUUAUUCCCUUACUUUCAUUUUAUGUCACUUAACUCCAUGAGAGACAAAAAUGCCUCUCUACCUAGACAUGACUACGAUUUCAAAAUCAACGCUUCCAAUUUAAAAACUGAUGGUUCUGGUUUUUUGAAAGGUGGAAUCUAAACCAACUCUUAUGGGAAUAGUUAUGAUUACGGUUCUUGAACUUCUGAUUUCGAUUACAAUUCUGGUUUCUUCCAAUUAUGAUUCCAAUUCUUUAGCUGUAUUUAAAUAUUUGUUCUUAUAAAAUUGAUUUUAUGAAAAUAUCACAAUGAGAAGGAACAUUAAACGAUCUAUGAAUCCAUGAAACUUCCCAACACAUGCAAUCUUGACAUAAGACAAUGGCAUCAUCAAUCAACAAACCACAUGAUGAAUCAUCAGAUACCAAAUGGUCCAGCAUUUUGAUGACCUUUUGUGAAUCUCCUUCCAAAACAAUCUUAUUGAAACCCAAAUCAUGUAGUAAUUGAAUAGCAUGUUUGGCUGCAUAUGAUUCAACUACAUUUGGUUCCAAUAUCCCAAGAAUUUUUUUGGAAAGUCCAGCAAUGAAACUUCCUUUAUCAUCUCGGAUAAUAACACCAACCCCUAAUGAUUUAUCAUCCAUAAACAUAGCUCCAUCAAAGUUUGCCUUAACAAAAACUACAUUGGGUCGUAUCCAAUGAGAUAUUGACAAUCAUGAUAGAAGUAGGCAUAUUGAACUUAUCUUUGGAAUUUGCUUCAUAGAAUUGAUUUAGGAAUACUAUAGACAGGGAGACUAAACUAAGAGGAUCCCUAUAAGGCCCAUAAAAAAUCGCUCCAUUCUAGUUAUUCCAUAAAUUCCAAAGAAUAACACCCACCAAUUUCAUCUCUUUGCUUGAUAGUCGAAAAAGAAGGAUAGGAAGCUAAGAUUUGAUCUGAUUAGUCGAAUGCAAUUGAACUUUCUAGCUUAAGAAACUAAGCGCCCACGAUUGCAUAGGUACAGGACAAGUUAAGAAGGUAUGAUCAAUAUCAUCAACUGGAGCAAGACAUAAAGAGCAAGAGGUACCUAACUGAAACCCUUUAGUAUUGAGUUUAGUGCUGGUUGUUAGUACAUCUUUACAUGCCCUCCAUAAGAAAAUUUUAAUUUUCUCUGGAAGAUUCAAGUGCCAAAGCCAAGACCAAAUACUUUGCUUUAGAGUGCUACUACUUGAUGGCAAAUUCUCCCAAUUAGAAGAUCGCUGCUGGAUCAAGUGAUACACACUCUUCACAGUAAAAGAUCCAUUCUUUGAAAAGUGCUAGAUUAGCUUAUCCCUGUUGUGAGCGUCACCAACUGGAAUGCUUUGAAUUAAUUCAAUCUCCUUAGGCCAAAAAAUCUCCUGUAAUAAGUGAACUCGCCAAGUCUUUCGUUCAUAGUCUAUUAGGCAAUCAACCGUUGGAAUUCUCUGGUAAUGCAGUAGACCGUGACACGAUUUUAAAAGUAGAUGGCCGCGGAAGCCAUCUAACUUUUCGGAUUUUGAUAGAAUGGCCAAAACCAAUUCACCAUCUUCUUCCUGUUUCAAUAUACUUCCUAACCUCACAUAAUCUGCGCCAAGACCAGGAAGGCCAAGAUCCUUCUUGAGCUUGAAAGAAAUCAGUAUUGGGAAAAUAUUUAGCUUUAUAUACCCAAUGAAGUAGACUAGAUGGUUAUGUAGCAAUGCGCCAGGAUUGCUUAGACAACAAUGCGAGAUUAAAAGUCUUAAGCUGCUUGAAAUCUAUUCCUCCAUCUUCUUUUCUAUUGCAAUGUUUAUCCCAACUUACCUAGUGAAUUGGUCUAGCCUUAUUUCUAUCACCUCACCAAAAAUUGCUCAUCAUUGAUUGGAUGUCCAUCAGCAAAGAAUUUGAAAAUUUGAAACAAGAAAUCGAAUAUGUGGGAAUUGCUUGAACUACUGCUUUCAGCAAAAUUUCUUUUUCCUCUUUCAAUAAUCGUUGUUCAUUUCAUCCUUGAAUUCGUUGCCAAAUUCUGUCUUUGAUAGAAGAAAAUACCUUACAUUUGGAGCAUCCAUUAAUGGUGGGAAGACCAAGAUUUUUUUCAUGUGCGACCUGUGACGCCCCCACUUCUCCCUAAGGCGAACCAAAGGGUAUCCGCGGAACGCCUGCCUAGCUCUCGCCAGGACUCAAGCAAUUCCAUUCAACUUAUAGCCAGACCACACAAUACAAGCCAAUAACUUAGAUACAAUAAAUGCGGAAGUAUUCAAACUUAAUAAUAGUCAUCCAUUCUCCAAACCACACGUCAGAAUAUCGAUUACAUUUCGUCCAAAGGGUCACAUCACGGGGUACCUAUCAGCUUGUCACCCGCACGCGGGCAUCCCCUACGGAGAGUUUCGCUUCGUGACUCUUCACGAACGAGAGGCUCGGGGCUUUUCCAGACGAAGGACUUAAGGUCCCAACUGUCGGCAUAUGGCUCUGAUACCAACUGUGACAGUUCUCAAGGUCACAUUUCCAUACCAAAAGUACAAUUCCAAAACCAAAGGCAUAACCAAAAGUAAUAACAAGCCCUAAACAAAAGUACAUCAAGAGGGCUUCUCCAUUUUACCUUCGAGUUCAAACCUGUUAAGGAAAACAAAUCUACAGGGUGAGCAAAACGCUCGUGAGGCCAAGAACACACAUGCAACCACAUAGUUCAGAUAACAAGCCCAAUAACAAUUCAGGUAUUAUCUUGCAAGUAAUUAAUAACACCAAUAAACUGUAACCAGAAACAAUUCAAGGAUAUAGAAGCUCUCAGGAGCUAAGUUCCACAUUUGCCGACACCGUUUAUAUAUCUUUCCGUGAUGACUCUCCGUCAACCGGAUUGAUAUUUUCAUAUCCGUAGUUCACCACUUACUUCCCAUCCGUCCACCAUAUACCACUUCGGGCCCGCACUACAUUUAUAAGGCGAUACUAUACGAGUAUGCCAAGCGAGAUCUCUCAAUAGAUCAAGCUUAUCAUUUGAGUUCAUGGCUCACCGAGGUUCCCGACCAAGCCCAUGCCGGCUCGAGUUCCAAGGUCGGCCUAUGAGUUUGGGCGUCCCCCAUUUGUCAUGUAAAUGUCGAGGAGAUUCACUCCAUCGACGUAUGCAAUCAUAGCAUACCAUUUCAUGUAUUCAAGCAUUUGAUAGGUUUAAGCAGACAUUUCAAGUCAUGUAAACCAAGCAAAUCAUGUUAAGCAUGAGUCAUUCGUUUCAAAUGAGAACGAGUGCGAUCAAGUACACACUCGACUCCAUUUUGUCAAAAUCAGUUAAGCUAAGCAUGAAAUCAGGUGAAUCAAGCAUGAAUCAAGACUUUAGGGUUCAAGUAGGCAUACACUUGACACUCACCAAGUUAUGCAAGCAAGUAAAUUGGAGGAAGAGUUCAAACUUCCACAGUAGGGUCCUCUUGGAGGUCCUCGUGCGUGCCUGAGCAAAUAAUAGUGAAUUGUCACCCAUAUCCCAAAUAUCGAGGAAUAAUUCGUUCACUAGUAUUACUCUAGGAAAUUCCGUGAAAAUAAACCUCAAUUACUCGUAAAUCGAGGUUCGAGAGAGGUUUAAUAACAUUCAACAAUAUUUAAGUCUUUAUCUAGGAAAUCGGGGAUAAAACGUUUAGAUAAUAUCAAAAGAAUAAAGAGUUCUUGAAAAACUCUAUUUCCUUGAAAGUUGGAAAAUUUUCAGUUUUGUUAUGAAUCUUUGAAAAAUCGUAACUCACUCGGUAUAAGUCGAGAAUUGGAAAACUUUAUACCGUUGAAAACCUCUUAGAAAGUACUGCAAGUUCCUAGAAGACACUUUUCCAUGAAUCGAAGUGGAAAGUGCUAAAAAAUGAGCCUAAAGUUGUUGUUCCAAAUCACCCAGGAUUGAGCCGGGGUUGGUUUUUCGCUAACUUUGAAAAUUCGGCAGAAUUCACUCGUUCCAAACCAACCCUUGAAAUUUAUAUAUCAAUUAGAGGUGCAAGUAAGGUUUAGGUCAGAACAAACGGAUCAAGAAUCGGAGUUUUGAGCACCAAGAUAUGGUAGCUCAAAGUUGGGAAAAAUUCAAGACUGUUACAAAAUUUCCAGAUUUGGUUCCAACUUUGGACCUUUAGUUAAGUGCCGAAACGGACUUGGAUUGACACCAAAUUUUGCAGUAUAAUACUUCCAUAUGAAGGUUAUCUCUCUAUCAAAUUUCAUGGAAAAAUACCCUCGGGAGGGGGGUCAUUCAAUCAACCAAAGUUUGGAAAAAUCCUUAAGGCAAUCUGUCCAAAUCUAAGAUUUUCAAAACGAGCAGUUGCCGUAUUUUGAUCAUAACUCUCUCAAUUUAACUCGGAAUUGGGAAUGGUUGAUAGUUUUAGAAAAUAAAUUCAUAGGGCUACAACUUCACAGAAGAAAUCGUUUCAAGUUUCAGCAUGCAACUGGUUCAAAAUCAAGGCUCAAGUUGCAGCAUUAUCAAAUCAUUUCGGCAGAACGGAGAAACAGGACAGCCGACUUCAGAUGAAUGGUGUGGCUCACACACAUAAAACCAGGACGUGCAUUAUACACCGAUAAAAAUAUGGAAAUGUCUAGUUUCAAAUGCCACUAACGGCACCUGAUUUCGACAUCGGAGUACGGAGUUAUGGACGAAAUACAACCACUGGUCUGGAUUACGGCGAAACCGUUUUCCAGUUUACUAGUUUUUGAAAUAAAUUUGUUUGAGCAACCAAAACUCAAUAUUUUUCAACGAAAUUUUGUACACAACUUCUACAACAUGUAAAAUACACAAUCAAGCCAUUAAAUCCUCAAUUUCUGCAAUAAAAUGACCGAACAGAGCAGGGGCAAAAUGGUCAAGUUUGGCCCUUGCUCUCUACGUGAGUUUCCUGCAGUUUUUCUUCGACGAAACACUAACUUAAACACUAAUCCGUCAUCAUAAACUUCAUCAAGCAUAGAAUCAGCAACAACCCAAGAGUGGGAAUUCAUAGAGCCCACUUUUUCCAACAAUACAAGCUACUAAAGUAAAGAUUCCAACUCAAAUGCGUAAAUCAAACUCCAUAAACAAGUUUAAGAAGUUAGAUGGCUACCUACUUUGAUGGCUGUUCAAAUCAGAAAAUUUCGGUCCCUAUGAAGCCUGAAGACAGCCGUGAAACUCCUCCCUUUUCCAGCCUAAGUUGUUGUCCAAGUGAAAAGCUAAACGAAUGUGAAGUUUGGUGAGAAUCUAUGGAAGUUUUGGUAGGAAUUUGGUUGAGUUUUAGAAGAAAAGAAAUGGUGACUUUGGUUGUUCCUUUGCUGCAGUCUAGCCGGCCAUUGU